UCCUACGGGAGGCAGCAGUGAGGAAUAUUGGUCAAUGGAGGCAACUCUGAACCAGCCAAGUCGCGUGAAGGAUGACGGCCCUACGGGUUGUAAACUUCUUUUUUAAGGGAAUAAAGUGAGCCACGUGUGGCUUUUUGCAUGUACCUUACGAAUAAGGAUCGGCUAACUCCGUGCCAGCAGCCGCGGUAAUACGGGGGAUCCGAGCGUUAUCCGGAUUUAUUGGGUUUAAAGGGUGCGCAGGCGGAAUAUUAAGUCGGCGGUGAAAGUUUGCUGCUUAACUGUAAAAUUGCCGUUGAUACUGGUAUUCUUGAGUGUAUAUGAAGUAGGCGGAAUUUGUAGUGUAGCGGUGAAAUGCAUAGAUAUUACAAGGAACUCCAAUUGCGAAGGCAGCUUACUAAAUUACAACUGACGCUUAGGCACGAAGGCGUGGGUAUCAAACAGGAUUAGAUACCCUGGUAGUCCACGCAGUAAACGAUGAUUACUCGCUGUUUGCGAUACACAGUAAGCGGCUUAGCGAAAGCGUUAAGUAAUCCACCUGGGGAGUACGUUCGCAAGAAUGAAACUCAAAGGAAUUGACGG
rnacentral:rRNA from 1 species